AAGUCGUAACAAGGUAACCGUAGGUGAACCUGCGGUUGGAUCAUUACUAAAUGAUGGACAAGGCGCAAGCCAAGUCUUUUCGACCCCAUGUGAACAAUUUUUUGGUGUCUACACUUGUGUAGGUGCCAGAUCAAACCCCUUUAAAUUACUUGGAUGAUUCUUAUGAACCAAUCUAAAACAACUUUUGACAACGGAUCUCUUGGCUCUC
rnacentral:misc_RNA from 1 species